CAGUGACAUGUUUUUGUUUACUUUUAGAAAAUUGUAUAUAAUUUAUAAAAAAAUGUAAUACACUAUCGAAGUAAAAACUCGCUGAAAAGAUAAAUGCUCCAGAAUAAUUUAUACAGAUUCCUUAAAAUACUAAGAUUGCAGCCUAUUAUUUUUUACAUCGGAUUGCUGUUAAAAUCUCAAAUUUAUUACCUAACCUAAAAAUGAAUGAAGAAAAAGUGGACUUCUUAUUUAGAGCAGCGUCUGUUUUUUCACAAUCUAACAAUAAAAUACACGAUAUAUUAAGAAGCCAUUAUUUUUUACGAUGCAAAACUCUUAUCAAGGAAGGUGAAGCAUCCGAAAAACGAAUAAGAUGCGGACAUUGUCGUUUAGAAUGGAAGAGCCGUUUAUGCCGUGUCAAGUCAACAAAGUCAAGCAAGAAUAAAAGACGAAGGAACAGGUCCGAUCCGGAUAAGAAUACUAAUAUGUAUAAUAAAGACCUAGAAAGGACCUGUGCCUUCUGUGGACAUAUCACAAAAAUUCCCAUUCAUAGAGUUAACCAAAAAAAUAAUCUGGAGCCUCCUCCAACCUUGAUUAAGGAGCUUAAACCCAAAGUAUUAAAAACACAAGAGGCAGGAAAAGUUAUUGAUGU